UAACCUACCAAAGGCUAGCCC
rnacentral:piRNA from 1 species